UUGAAGCUUUAAGAGAGAUGUUUUUGGUAACUAUUUCAUUUUCCCAAAGAAGUUUGCUAUUCUUGUGUUAAUUGUGUAUACCUGAUUGUUUUUUCCUGGAGGUUUUUGUUGUUGUUGUUUAGUUUUGGGUUUUUUUUUUUUUAAGAGAGGCAAGUGUUUUCUGAAAUGAUGCAUAUUUUAAGACUCGAUUCAUAUUGCCACUGUGCUAUCCUUGAACUACCAAUAAUUUUUAUAAAAUAUCUAGUUUUUACUUUUAUAUAAACUUUACUUUCCAGAUGAAGAGCUGAGCCUGAUUCAAAUGGUUUUUCUGCUUUAUACUUCUUUUUAGUUCAUUGGUUUUUAUAGUAGAGGUUUUCUAUUUGUUUUUUUUUUUUUUACUACAUUUAUAUGUCUGAUACAUAUACAGCUUUGGAGACAAUCAAGUAACAAUUGAAAAUGUGAAAGUAACCAUAUCUGACAAAAUUCCCUUGAAUUUUUAUCCUUUGCUUGCAACAUUUAAGACUCAAAGUCACUGGUAUAUUGGAUUAAGUUUUUUCCUGUUAAUGCAAUUAUAGAAAUACAUCGGAGACACAACAAAUGUGGCCAUUACAGGUUUCAUAAAAUUACACUGACUUGGCUGUUACUUGAUCUUAGGAAACAGCACAGUUUAAGAUAUUGUGAAUUCUGACUUAUACUUUAUUAAAUGCUGUAAAUCUAAAUAGAUCCUGUUGGAUGUGAUGGGUCUAGUCCAGUUUAUUUAAGUUCAUGUUUCACUGUUUGCACUUUGCAUUGAACAAUGGGUUUAUUCGCUGAUGUAAACGGUUCGAGUGAAGAAUUAAUGCAGUAAGUAUGACAACACAUACACACUUGCCUCUCCCCAUCUCCAGAAGAGGGGAGCAGAGUCCGAGCUUAUCUAAAUAUGAAUGUGGCCACAAAGCUGUGGAAAGUGACAAAGCUUAAACACCUUUGCCCUGGCUCUGCAUUGUCACCUAGAGAGCAAGAGGUCUAUAGAAACAUCAUGUCACAUGAAACGAUUCUCUGCUUUUUGGUUCUGAACUUGAAGUCCCUAAACUGCAAAAUCUAAGAGUUGGAUGGUUAUUAAAAUGCUUUUAAAGUCAACUGUGGCACCAAUUCUAAUGUAAUCCAACUUGUGUUUUGUUUUGUUUUGUUUUGUUUGUGUGUGUGUGUGUGUGUGUGUGGCACUGGGGAAAGUGGAAACAAACGUAUUGAAAUACAUAUUGGAAAUAAAAAUGGUUUGAGCGUCAGUGAUAUUCUCCUAGAAUGUACUUAUCUUACCUCGGCAUGUACUGUAGUCACUCAGUAUUAUUUGUAUAUGUUGCUAGAAUUUAGAUUGUAAAAUAGUGAAAUUUUAAUGUGUUCAUUUGUUUUUAAUGUAUAUAUGUCUUGCUCAGAUUAUUUGGUUUAAAUAAAACAACCUUGAGGUUUGUAGCUUUUCCUUAUACUAUAAAAUGCCAUAUUCUUCUAUUUUAACCUCACUAACUUAUGGCCAAUAUUGUGCUUCCAGCAACAUUUGAAAAUGACACUGUUGGUUUACUUUGACUUUUUCUAUGACCAGUGCCAUCCUUUUUUUAAAAAAAUAAUUUCAACUUUUAUUUUAGAUUCUAAGGGUACAUGUGCAGAGUGCAGGUUUGUUACAUGGGUAUAUUGUGUGAUACUGAGGUUUGUGGUAUGAAUGAUCCCAUCAUCCAGGUUGUGAGCAUAGUACCCAAUACAUAGUCUUUCAGCCCUUGCCCUCCCCGCUCCCCUCGCUCCCCCCGCCGCAGUCCUCAGUGUCUAUCGUUCCCAUCUUUAUGUCCUUGUGUACCCACAGCACCAUCCUUUUUGAAGCCUGAUUUACUUUAUAUCAAUUGAACUUCAGCAGCCACACUGCAGCCUAUGGCUGUGUGGUAUGAGGGGAAAAUCACACUGAUUACAUGUGAUUCCAGUUCUGGUACCUUCCUUUUGCACCUCAAAGUUAGUUAUAAGAAGAAUCAAAACUGUGGGACUCUGCAAACAUAUGCUGGUAUUCAUGUCUAAUCUGGGUUAGAUCAACUACUACUGUUCUCCCCUUUAUUCUGCUUUAUAAGUACUGCAUUCUGUUUCUGAGCCAAAUCUAAUGUAUUUCACCCUUUAUAUACCCUCUUUAGAGAGGCAGGUUGGUUGUCAGUAAUCAAGCCAUGGUUUUCCAGUGUUUCCCAAUUGUAUUUAUUGGUCAAAAGAGAGUAAUUCUUUCUUCAGCUCAUACCUCUUCUGACAACUUUUAGUUCCAUCCUUAUAACCUCUAUUUAUUUUUCUGUUCCUUCACCUCUCAUUCCCCUACCUCCAGAUGGCCUUUGGUUACAUUUAUUAAAAUAUAGGAAGGAAGACUAGCUCACCACAUUUGUAGGAUUGACUGGCUUGCAUUGGAUCAGAUUCUCUGGUGCACCCUAGGUAGCCAGGCAAGCUUUCCAUCUGAAGAUUAGCUUUAAUCAUGGGAAAAUGAGAUAUUCUUUUUGUACCAUUUAAAUCCAAAAAUGCCAGCUUCACUUUUUAUAUUUUUUAGAAGACAGCCUCGCUCUGUCACCCGGGCUGGAGUGCAGUGGCGCGAUCUCGGCUCACUGCAACCUCUGCCUCCUGGGCUCAAGCAAUUCUCGUGCCUCAGCCUCCCGAGUACCUGGGACUACAGCACAUACCACCACGCCCAGCUAAUUAUUUUGUAUUUUAGUAGAGAUGAGGUUUCACCAUGUUGGCCAGGCUGGUCUUGAACUCCUGAGUUCAGGCAAUCCAGCUGCCUCCCUCGGCCUCCCAAAGUGUUCGGAUUACAGGUGUGAGCCACCAUGCCCGGCCUCAGCUUGACUUUUCUUAAGUGUUUACUUGUUCUGUUAUCUUCUUUACCUUUCCUACUUUACCUCAAGUGGAAAACCUUCAAAAUUUAAUGAAUAAGUCAGGCAAAAAAAAAUAAUGUUCAAGAUUUUUUUUUCCUUCUUGAGCUUGCCUAGCUUAGCUUCAUUGUAUAAAGUUAAACUUCAUUUCUUUAAAAUAAUACAAAGCCAUCAGAGUUUAGUAAUUGUAUUCUUUAGUUAUUUACUUAUCUAAUAAGAACUUUAUGUUUAGCCCAUUUCCUUUAACUUAAAAACACUGCCUUCAUUGUACCAAAUUACUCUUCACAAUCAUGGUUCAUUUAAUUCUGGGGGUUGUCAGGAGAGAGCUUAAUUAAACCAGCAUGAACUUAGGAUUUCCAGAGCCAAGUGGUUUCGGCUUGCCACAUCAAGCCACAGUCAUGUGCUUUUCCACCAGCCAUGUUUACAGUAGCCAAAUAUCCUCCUCAAAAUGUCUUAUUGUCAGAAUUGUUGUGGUAAACUAAAUCCUUAGUAGGAAGUCAUAUCCCUUCAAAAAUCUAAGAUGAAGUACUUAUAAAAAGACGUGUGAAAACACCUCAGAAAACUAGCUUAUUUUAAAAACAAUGCAAUCAAAACUUAUUUUCCUGAUAUCUUAACAUUUCUUGGUUUUCAUAAGUUAAAUAUACAGUAUUAACAGAAAUUAAGCUGGUGGUUAUGAAUCACCAGGCAGCAACAGACAGUAUACAUAAUUAUUUGACGAGUGCAUCCAACAUAUUUUAAACUAAAAAUUGCAGUACAAAAAUAAAACUAACACUGUUAGCAUCAUCUUCUGAGUCUGUAGAGUCAAUCUUGAGUCAAGUUGAUUACGAGGUUUUUUUCUAUAAUGUCCUUCAAAAAGAGCUGCUCUGCAGUCACAUUGUGAUA
rnacentral:lncRNA from 1 species